AUUGAACGCUGGCGGCGUGCUUAACACAUGCAAGUCGAUCGGUAACAGGUGUAGCAAUACAUGCUGACGAGAGGCGGACGGGUGAGGAACGCUUGGGAAUCUGCCUAUCAGCGGGGGACAACCCGGGGAAACCCGGGCUAAUACCGCAUACGCUCUACGGAGGAAAGCCGGGGACCGCAAGGCCUGGCACUGAUAGAUGAGCCCAAGUGGAUUAGCUAGUUGGCGGGGUAACGGCCCACCAAGGCGACGAUCCGUAGCUGGUCUGAGAGGACGAUCAGCCACACCGGAACUGAGACACGGUCCGGACUCCUACGGGAGGCAGCAGUGGGGAAUAUUGGACAAUGGGGGAAACCCUGAUCCAGCGACGCCGCGUGGGUGAAGAAGGCCUGCGGGUUGUAAAGCCCUUUCGGUAGGGACGAAAGCUCUCGACCUAACACGUCGGGAGGUUGACUUAACCUACAAAAGAAGCACCGGCUAACUCUGUGCCAGCCGCCGCCGUAAAAC
rnacentral:rRNA from 1 species